rnacentral:tRNA from 1 species
GCGGAUGUGGCGGAACUGGUAGACGCCCUGGAUUUAGGUUCCAGUGCCGAAAGGCGUGGGGGUUCGAUUCCCGUCGUCCGCACCA